rnacentral:tRNA from 1 species
GGGCUUAUAGCUCAGGUGGUUAGAGCGCACGCCUGAUAAGCGUGAGGUCGAUGGUUCGAGUCCAUCUAGGCCCA